rnacentral:rRNA from 1 species
AUUGAACGCUGGCGGCAGGCCUACCACAUGCAAGUCGAGCGGGAGGCGGACGGGUGAGUAAGGUAUGGGGAUCUUCGCGGUAGAGAGGGAUCCCUACUGGAAACUGUGGCUAAUCCCGCAUACUCUCGGAUGAACCCCUAUGGGAUUAGCUAGUGGGUGGGGUAAAGGCUCACCUAGGCGACGAUCUCUAGCUGGGCUGAGAGGAUGAUCAGCCACACUGGGACUGAGACACGGCCCAGACUCCGACGGGAGGAAGCAGUGGGGAAGAUUGCACAAGGGGCGAAAGCCUGAUGGAGCCAUGCCGCGUGUACGAAGAAGGCCUUAGGGUUGUAAAGUACUUUCAGCUGGGAGGCGUUACCCGCAGAAGAAGCACCGGCGAACUACGUGCCAGCAGCCGCGGUAAUUC